CCUACGGGGAGCAGCAGUCGAGAAUCAUUCACAAUGGGGGAAACCCUGAUGGUGCGACGCCGCGUGGGGGAAUGAAGGUCUUCGGAUUGUAAACCCCUGUCAUGUGGGAGCAAAUUAAAAAGAUAGUACCACAAGAGGAAGAGACGACUAACCCUGUGCCAGCAGCCGCGGUAAUACAGAGGUCUCAAGCGUUGUUCGGAAUCACUGGGCGUAAAGCGUGCGUAGGCGGUUUCGUAAGUCGUGUGUGAAAGGGGCGGGCUCAACCCGCGGACGGCACAUGAUACUGCGAGACUAGAGUAAUGGAGGGGGAACCGGAAUUCUCGGUGUAGCAGUGAAAUGCGUAGAUAUCGAGAGGAACACUCGUGGCGAAGGCGGGUUCCUGGACAUUAACUGACGCUGAGGCACGAAGGCCAGGGGAGCGAAAGGGAUUAGAUACCCUUGUAGUC
rnacentral:rRNA from 1 species